CCUACGGGAGGCAGCAGUGAGGAAUAUUGGUCAAUGGACGAGAGUCUGAACCAGCCAAGUAGCGUGAAGGAUGACUGCCCUAUGGGUUGUAAACUUCUUUUAUAAAGGAAUAAAACGAGGCACGUGUGCCUUUUUGCAUGUACUUUAUGAAUAAGGAUCGGCUAACUCCGUGCCAGCAGCCGCGGUAAUACGGAGGAUCCGAGCGUUAUCCGGAUUUAUUGGGUUUAAAGGGAGCGUAGAUGGGUUGUUAAGUCAGUUGUGAAAGUUUGCGGCUCAACCGUAAAAUUGCAAUUGAUAAUGGCAGUCGUGAGUACAGUUGAGGUAGGCGGAAUUCGUGGUGUAGCGGUGAAAUGCUUAGAUAUCACGAAGAACCCCGAUUGCGAAGGCAGCUUACUAAACUGUGACUGACAUUGAUGCUCGAAAGUGUGGGUAUCAAACAGGAUUAGAUACCCUGGUAGUC
rnacentral:rRNA from 1 species